GGGAGAAGAGAAGAGAAGAGAAGAGAAGAGAACCACACACACAAGACAAGAGAAGAGAAGAGAACCACACACACAAGACACGGAGAGUCCGAUGCUCAAUCCUAGGCCUUGGAGGCCUGUUCCUCCCUGCCGGGAAGCGUCUCUCACCCGAGACUACAACUCCCAUAAGGCAUCGCGAGCAUCGCGAGAACGGCGCCACAGAGGAACCGGAAACAAGCCAGUUACUUUCAUACUCAGGGACACCGUCCCCCCCUCCGCCCCCCGCCCUCCCCUCGCUUCAAAGUUCUGUAUUGCAGAAUGAAAUCGGCGCCUUUCCCCAGCGGUUUUUCCAAAUACGAGCAAAGGAGGCACAAAACGCAGGUUCCAGAAACUGUGCCUGCAACCAUUCGUCCUUAUUUCCCGACACACGGGCCCCUGCUCCCCGCUAAGGCUGGGGUCCUGGACACGAGUUUUGCGCUCUGAUAGAAGGGCUUAGAUUCCAGAUUGACACUGGGCUCUCUAAAGCCUGCUCCUCAAUCUACUGAUCCGGUCCAGCUUAAGAUCCAGUAGAAAGAAAACAUAGCCUGCCCGGACCGUAACCUUUUUGUUUCAGACCCUGCAUUUGUAAAAUAGCCUAAUAAAAUCUCUCCCUGGCUUACAGAGCAAGACAGCGUCCUGGUCCAAGAACCGGAUGAGUCAAAAGGCGUUACUGUUGAGUCAGACAUAGAAUACAUGAAUACCUAGAAAUUCGUAAAUGAUUCUCCAAAGGCUGUUGAAAUAGCGUUUUCAGGCCGGGCGCGGUGGCUCACACCUGUAAUCCCAGCACUUUGGGAGGCCGAGGCGGGCGGAUCACCUGAGGUCAGGAGAUGGAGACCAUCCUGGCUAACACGGUGAAACCUCGUCUCUACUGAAAAUACAAAAAAUUAGCCGGGCG
rnacentral:lncRNA from 1 species